rnacentral:lncRNA from 1 species
GCUUUCUCUCUCUCUCUCUCAUUCACUCACAUACACAUCUUUUUCUUUGAUUUCAUUGAAAGUGAUUUGGGGCCAUAUCAGGAAAAUGCUACACUACAGUGGAUUUUUAUAUUCAAACUGUCUUAAAGCAUGUCUUUUGAACCCUGAUUUCUUGGCUCUUCUAAAUUUGUCUGCCACAGCAAGCAAUGUGGUUCACCUUAGAACUGGUUUAUAAUAUUCCAUUCUUAAUUCUACUUGCAGACAAGGUAUGCUCUGUGGCUUGAAGAUAGGAUGAGCUUCCUUGGACAGUGUUCUAUUCAUGGCCAACUUGCUCCUGGCUUUGUUUGUUUUGGAAUUCAGUGAUCCAAACAGACACUGACGUUGAUGUCUCCAUGUUACACUAGCACUAGCGAGCUGCAUAGAUCAUUUUUUUAGUGUAGAUAUAAAUUACAGAAUGUUUUCUGGAGAGAGGAGAAUUCAGAUGUCAGUGAGAGCUCAUAUUGAAUUUGAGCAUGAAAUAUGUACUUUUGCAGGUAAUAUAUCUUCAUUCUUCACUCUGGAGUUAAUGCUUGUUUUUCCCUGCGUUGAGACA